rnacentral:lncRNA from 1 species
CAACGGCAACGUCAUAGUAUAUAUAUGAGAUGAAACCCCAGCCCAUCUUCAAUCCCUCACUCACCUCUCACUCUCACACAGCGCCUCCCCUCCCUUUCCCUCACCCGAGCGUGAGCCCACAGUGGCGGCACCUCUCCCUCUCCCUCUCCCUCACCCUCACCCUCACCCUCACCCGAGCCUGAGUCCAUAGUGGACCUGGAUGCCGAAAGGAGGAGCUCACGGGCGCAGUGGCCUAGCAACCUAGCAGCGAAGCCUCCCAGGCACGGUGGCAUGGCCUCGUGGCAUGGCGGCCUAGCCUCGCCCCUCUUCCUCUGUGAUGGCGCACCUCCUUCCCCACGCCCUCCUCCUCCACGAUGACACCCCUCCUUCCCCAUGCCCUUCUUCUUCGUGAUGAUGCCCCUUCUCUCCCACCCACUGGAUCUGGUGGUGGAGCGGCUGAUCUGGCCGCAUGUGCUCCCAUGAUGAUGGAUCUGGUUUAGGAGGCGUGGAUCCUAUGGUGGAGUGGCCAGAUUUGGCCGAUGUGCUCUCCCGACGGCGAUCUAGUUCUAGAGGUGCGGAUCUGGUGCUGGUGCGAGCGGUGGCGGCCUAUGAUUGGGCUCGCUGAGAUUUUCCAUGUGUUUUCUUUUUUUGUUUUUAUUUAAUUUACCGAGGUGGAUAUUUGAACCGUCUCGGGAAAGAUUUAUUUAUUGUGACCUUUCAACUGAGGUGAUUGGGAUAUCCAUCUCGGUUAAUCCAUUCCGUCGACCUCGGUUAAAUUUACAGUUAUGUAUAAAAUAGGGUAAACCUCUUUAAAAUAAUCUUCUAACCGCAUAUCCUCCCAAAACACACCUACUCCUCACUCUUCGCCUUAAAAGCACCACAGCUAGAAAAUCGUCCUUUAAUUUGUUAGAUAAGACCAGCUCAGAAAUGAGAAUCCCCAUGCCUAUGUUGCACCUUUGUAAGGCAGUAUUAGACAAAUAUUUCCUUCUUGGAGCAUCUUCGGUUGUUUAGUAAUAAUCUACUUGCUAAACUAAUAAAUCUAACAAGUUAAUAAAAGUAGUAACCUUAAAUUUUAUCCUUCUCCAACAG